rnacentral:lncRNA from 1 species
AGUUAAUCUAGAGCAUAAACUACUUUUCCAUCUAACUGAUAACAGCAACCUGGGCCAAAACAACUAUUAGACAGUCCUUGACUAAGGUCCAUAAGGCAUGUCCCUAGAGGUAUUCUCUAAAAACAUAACAGAAACUCUCUGUACUCUUCAAUUUAAGACUCAAGAAGCUAAUGUUUAUGGCUCUUAGUUGUCUCGUCUUCUGCCAGCAAAGUUGAAUUUCUCACUUGGAAGGGGAAGAAAUGCAGCAGGGGUACCAUUUUCUCUAAAUUGAGAUUUGAGACGGAUUAAGUGAGCUACUCAAUAGCUGUCUUGGUAACAGACUGUACUUUCUUUUAGUCCUUGCUUAUCAGGUCUACACAGCAGGGCAGUUUGAUUGCUGACUGACUGUUGACUGCUUGUUUCGGAUGAAAUUGAAACGUCCAUGAAAAGGAGAAAUAAGUUGAGUUUACCUGUCAUCACAGUAGGUGAAUUUCAUGUCCAUGCUAUGGCGACUCAUGAAGGUCUUGCUGUCCAGAGGGAUAUCAAUGUUUGAAGGAUGCUGAAUAGGCUCACACAUUAUUAUAAGGCAGGUGAGAAGAGGCUCUUUAUACCCACACAAAGUGUGAGGAGGGCAAGUGUUGUACACUUUAACUUGUCCAGUGCAGUGCAAAACCUUCCAUGUGGCAGAUUUGAGGUUAACAGUUCUGCCUCUGUUG